rnacentral:lncRNA from 1 species
UUAAAUUAAGAACGACGGUCUAUUCGUUCCAUACAUUGUCCACAUUUUUGAUUUUUUAGCUCGAGAAUCUUGAGUCAGUGUCCCAUAUAGUUGUCACACUGUGUUUACUCAUAUAAACGGGUAUUUAAAUAGGGUUGAAAAAUAAAGAUGUAUUUCAAGCCUUACUUAUUAUUAUUAAUACGAUCGAUGCUAAACUAUCUACGUAUACGACAGUAGUAUAGUUUGUGUAUAAUAUACGUAUACGCGCAUGCCUCAUCGGCUAGCCGACCACCCACAGGACGAACGAUUCACACCUCACCGUCACUCGCACUCACGAACGGUUCGGCCUUUGGAGAAUUAUUAUUAUUAAUAAUAUUACGAAGGUAUUUAAAUAUUAUGAUAGAUAAUAACAUACAUGCUUGCUUGAUUGAUUGGAAACUGAUGACUACUUUCAUUUCCGUUGUCAUAUAUACAUAUGUACCUUGCUUCAUUAUUCUACGUACGAAUGAACGAAGGUACGAAUAAUAAUAAAUCUCCAAAGGACGAGUGGUUGAUUUGUGAGCGCGAGUGAGAGGGAAAUUUCGUUCGUCCUCUGGGUGGUCGGCAUAGCCGGGAGUUGGCGAUUUCGUCGUACGCGCACGGAGUCUGAGGUCGAGUUCGUAUUACCGGUAUGGCUGGGUCGAAUCACGUCUCCCUAGGUCUGAUAUACGUGUGUAGACUAGCUCUAGAUAGCUAGUUAGUCUACGAGAAGAUCGAUAGAUAGAUAUCCCUCUAAACUUCGUUAGUUCGUAGACUACGAAGGUACGAAGGUACCUCGGAAGAACCAACUAUAUGAGCAGCUGACUCAAUCAAGGUUCUCGAGCUAAAAAUAAGAAAAUGUCAUCAACUAUAUGUAGCGAUAGACCAUCGUUAUUGAUUUAAUGAUGUCAAAAAUGUGGACACUCCAUAGAACGAUAGACCAUAUAGUUCUUGAUUUAAUGGUGUCAAAAAUGUCGACAAUGUAUGAGACGAAUAGACCUUCGACCUUGAUAAACGAUACCAGGUGAUUGUUACAUUUUGGAAGUUGGAGUCGUGUAAGUUCGGCUAUGCCGAAUAAUAAUAAUAAUAUGUACUUAAUAAUAUGUACCUUUUAUUACUUGCUUCAUUCGUACAUAUCUUCGAGGGUAUGUACAUAUGUACAUACAUACGUACGUACGUACGUACAUAUGUACCUUCGUUCGUUAUUAAUAAUAAUAAGGUCUACGAACGAAUAUCGAACGAAUGAAGGUAUCUAUCUAAUAUAAAUAAUAAUAAUAUUAUUAUUAUUAUUACGUACAUAUAUUAUGUACGUACGGUAAUAUUUAUUUAAAUUAAUAUUAUUAAUAAUAUUAUGAAGAUAUUAUUAUUACUUCGCUCGAGGAACUUUUUAGCAUAAUUUCCUG